AAUAUAAACGUCAGAUGUUUGGACAGAAAAAAAAAUUACGUUCUCAUUUCCGCACAUUUUUUUCCGAUCGAAUAGAAUAAAUUGUUUAUUUGAAAGACUAAUCUCUCUUCGAAAUUAAGUGCAAGUAAAUAAGAAAACUGGCUGAUAACAGAUUCCCGGAUAUAUCUAUAAGUAUAUUCACUGGGCUCUGGCGAAAGUGUGCGGCGACUCGUGUUUAUAAAUUGGGCGCGUUGAAUUCGUAACAAUCGUCAAAACACACUUAUCAAAAGUCAGUAGCUCCACAAUCGGGAGCAGGAAGUGAGUGCUCAAACUAAGAAAAAGACACUCGCAAAACACGAGACGCUUAGCUGUUCGCUUUUUUUGAUAACUUGUACAGAGUACGAUUGAGUAAAGGCAGCAGUUUGCCAAGAUAAAAAAGCAAAAAACACGACGGCAAGAGUCGCCACCUGAGCGCAUGAAACUUGGUAGCGGUAGCCACAUAAAUUCAGUUGUCGUCGCCACUUUGCCUGUGUUAAACGUGUCACUCUCAGUUGGGAUAUAGGAGGGCAAAUAGCUCCUGUUCAUACAUAAAAAAUAGUACGCACGCGUAGAACGAAAGUAAACGCAAUUCAUAUUUCUUAACAAAUUUCGCUUAUUUAAAAAAAUAUCUAAUUAUACAAUAUGGCUGAUAAAACCAGCGUUUGCAUUGUCGGUUCAGGCAACUGGGGCUCAGCAAUAGCUAAGAUUGUGGGCGCCAAUUGUGCUAAUUUGCCGCAAUUCGAAGAAUGCGUGACUAUGUAUGUGUAUGAGGAGGAAAUUGACGGCAAAAAAUUGACUGAAAUCAUAAACACCACACACGAGAAUGUUAAAUAUUUGCCAGGACAUAAGUUGCCACCGAAUGUGGUCGCUGUGCCAGAUCUCGUUGAAGCGUGCAAAAACGCUGACAUCCUCAUUUUCGUUGUGCCACAUCAGUUCAUUCCGAACUUUUGCAAAUCGCUGUUGGGAAAAAUUAAGCCCAAUGCAAUUGCCAUUUCACUGAUUAAGGGCUUUGAUAAGGCUCAAGGCGGUGGUAUUGAUCUUAUUUCUCACAUCAUUACCCGCCAUUUGAAGAUCCCCUGCUCCGUGCUCAUGGGCGCCAAUUUGGCUAAUGAAGUGGCACAGGGUAACUUCUGUGAAACCACCAUUGGUUGCCGCGAUGUCAAGUACGCCAAAACAUUGCGCGAUCUCUUCCAGGCAAAUUUCUUCCGUGUGGUUGUGGUGGACGACUCUGAUGCGGUCGAAGUGUGCGGUGCACUCAAGAAUAUUGUGGCCACCGGCGCUGGUUUCGUCGAUGGUCUAGGUUUGGGUGAUAACACCAAAGCGGCAGUCAUUCGUUUGGGUCUGAUGGAAAUGGUAAGAUUUGUCGAUGUCUUCUACCCAGGCAGCAAAUUAUCAACGUUCUUCGAGAGCUGUGGUGUGGCUGAUCUAAUUACCACUUGCUAUGGUGGCCGCAACAGGCGUGUUGCAGAGGCUUUCGUGAAAACUGGCAAAACUAUCGAGCAACUGGAAAUUGAGAUGUUGAACGGACAGAAAUUGCAAGGUCCACCCACCGCCGAGGAAGUGAAUUAUAUGCUGAAAAAUAAGGGCUUGGAAGACAAAUUCCCGCUCUUUACGGCCAUUCACAAGAUUUGCACAAAUCAAUUGAAAGUUCAAGAUUUGAUUGAUUGCAUACGUAAUCACCCUGAGCAUAUAUAUCAUCCCACAAAUAUUUUCCCACUCUAAAAUCAGUCAUGUGUACAUGUCUCAUCAAUUCUAUGUUUCCUCUACUAAUCCCUAACAAUUUCCAGCCUUGCUAGCAACUAAUCAUUAACUAACUUAGGACGAGCCUAUUAAUCUGCAACCAAAGUUGUAAUUUUUUACAACAACUUACGCAAAACAAAAAAAAAACAAAAUCGCUCUUAAUUGGAUAUAAAAAAAAAUUAAAUAAAUGGAAUAUAUGCACAAGCCAUAUAUGUAUGAGAGAGAGAGAGAGAGAGAGCAUAAUAAGAUGAUACUCUUAUUUAUGUUCUCUUAUUGCGUUAUGCCUUACGUACGUCGACAGAAAAGUAAAAACAUAAGAAUUCCAAUCAUAUCGGAUCUCGCACUUCACUUCUAACCUAACCUUUUCGCACACCAACACAGUCAACUUCAUGACAGUUUCAUCAUCGCAUAUCCCGAACUCAUGUGCUUAGAAGCAGAAGAAUUGGAUACUCCUUCGACUUAAAACUAUCUAUCAUCUUGCACACUACACUCGUGCCGACAGAUGUAAAUGUGCUUGUGGACAUUGCUUUUGUAAUGAAGUAGUGUAGUGUUUAUGCCGAGAAGUCUGUCUGUAUGCGAGGCAUAUUUGUAAAUAUCUAUAAAUAACUAUUGUCGUGAAUGUUUAAUUAUGUAUUUGUUAUAUUCAUAAAAAAUAAUUUUUUAUAACAGAAUUGUUAAUAA